rnacentral:rRNA from 1 species
GACGAACGCUGGCGGCGUGCUUAACACAUGCAAGUCGAACGAAGAGCGACGGAAGCUUGCUUCUAUCAAUCUUAGUGGCGAACGGGUGAGUAACGCGUAAUCAACCUGCCCUUCAGAGGGGGACAACAGUUGGAAACGACUGCUAAUACCGCAUACGAUCUAACCUCGGCAUCGAGGAUAGAUGAAAGGUGGCCUCUACAUGUAAGCUAUCACUGAAGGAGGGGAUUGCGUCUGAUUAGCUAGUUGGAGGGGUAACGGCCCACCAAGGCGAUGAUCAGUAGCCGGUCUGAGAGGAUGACCGGCCACAUUGGGACUGAGACACGGCCCAGACUCCUACGGGAGGCAGCAGUGGGGAAUCUUCCGCAAUGGACGAAAGUCUGACGGAGCAACGCCGCGUGAGUGAUGACGGCCUUCGGGUUGUAAAGCUCUGUUAAUCGGGACGAAAGGCCUUCUUGCGAAUAGUGAGAAGGAUUGACGGUACCGGAAUAGAAAGCCACGGCUAACUACGUG